AAAAUAGUUAUAAUUUGAAGAUCAAAUCAAAUUUGAUUUCAAAUUUUAAUUAUUAUUGAUUUUAUUUUAUUUUAAGUGUAACCUAAUUUUGUCUUAUAAAUACUAAUCUUAUUCUCUAACCUCUCUCACAUUCAUAAUCCUAACUUUUUAACCCUAUUUUCACUAACCUUUUAUCACCUCUUUCACGCACAAAAUUCCGUCACCGUGUUUAUACUUCCACCAUCAUCUUUAUGAUACAAGACAUAAACAACUAUAAACCAAAAACCAAGCCUUUGUUCAUAGAAUACAAACCAACACCACCUAUUCUAUACACAGUAAAAAUCAAGAGAUGUUCACAGUCUUUUUUUUAUUUUUUCUAAUUUCUAACCAGCGUUACUGUUUCAAAUUCUAUCAUUAAUUUUUUUUCAUGAAAUUCUCUUCAUUACUAACACAUGUGAUACUUUGAAUUUUAGUUUGUUCCCUUUUGCAGAUUAAAGAUGGUAUUCAUACAGAGAAAAACAUUGGUUUGUUCAUCACCUCACAACAACCUGCAGCCGACAGAUCCACACGGACAACAGCUCCACCUCCCGAUUCCGAGUCGACGGCUUCUGCGUUCUUUGCCUUCGGUCAACCACUGCUACGCCCAGCGUAGAGCAACCACGACACCAUGCUCUAACAGACUUCAAACCAACCGGCCAUCACUCCACACCGCCAUCGUCGUCGAGGCUCAGCCGUCAUCAAGAUCCAGCCGCUAAUCUCUCCGAUCUACAACAUCCGUUCCACCGCAAAACAACCGCAGUGUCACGCUAACAGCAUCACCACCGUCGUUGAUGCUGAACGGGAUAGUGUUACGGAAGAGGAGCUCACCAUGGAGUCGCCAUUGGCCGCAAACACCGACACAGAGUUUCUACAGAUUUCAACAACAUUACCUGCAGAUUCAAUCUCUCACGUUCAACAAACAGCGUCAUCGUUCUCAAGCCGCAACGCCGACGCAUUCGAGCAUCUCCGCGUAAAGACUCCGAUCCACCGUUCCAAAUCGGCCAUGUCGUUUUCAGUGCAAUCUGAAAAAGCCCCUUCGUUCAGCAGGCCGUACCACCGCUCCUCGCCGGGGACGCGCCACCUAUGGCUGUCCCUUAUGAUCGUGACCACACCGCCGCUAAUACGAGAUCUCCGCACUCAUCUGGUACUACCAUCAUGAGCAUUGGACUGUGCAUGAAUUAAUCUAAUGUUUCAGAGCCUGCAGUUCCAUGGUGAACCUUCAAGAUUCGACCACACCGGUUUCUAGCAUCCAAGCAUCCAGGUCACAAUAAGUUUUCUUAAUAAACCUUAGGGGUUUAGUGUUUCAGGGUUAGCAUCAGGAUUUCCUCUGACUACAAACCCUAUCAGAUCAAAUCAAGCUAAGUACUUUUGCUUAUUUUAUUAUUUUAAAUUCAUUAUAUCCUUAGGGUUAAUUCUGUUUGCCUCCGAACCGAUAAUGCACUCACGCCUCUGUUUAUUCUCUCUUUUCCAAUUUUCAGGGUUUGUCGACUGCCAAAGCUACGAGUAUUGAUAACCCUAACCCUGAUAUUUUAUGUCUUUUAUUAUUACUUAUGCCAAACCCUAUUGGGGAUCCGCUGGUUUCAUUGUCCCCUUCCCCAUAUUUGCUAUUAUUGUUGCUUUAUAUUAAACUGCGUGGUUAGUAAUUUAGGGAGUGCAACCUUGAAUUGAAUUAGCCUCACUAAUUAUAAGAUAAUUUAAUCGAAUUAAUCACGUGAUUGAUGCACCCACGCACACUUUUGAGGUGACCUCUUUGUUGCCUUGUUGCCUGUUGCCUUGUGUUAUUUUGCAGAAUAGCCAGUCCCUCGAAUACGAGGAUACCUUAGCCAGUUGCCUCGAUUAAGAUCAUGGUCCCUAAUGAUGCUGCCUUCGAUAUGCUUGAUCUCGACCCUCGGAAGUUGCCUACGAAAAAGGCUAAGGUAUCCUCUGGCUGACUACGAAAGGCUAUUCUGGUCCUUCCCCUUAGACUACCUGCCUCUCUAUGGCAUGGGUCAGUCUUAUGGCGAAGGAUAUUUUGAUGACCCUUCAACCUCCAAAUGAAAGGCUUCCUGCCCUCUUAUGGCAAGGAUAGACCCUUUCACCCUGAAAGGCUAAAAGAACAUUUUUCAUCUAACCAGGUAAUUUGCCCUUAAUUGCAUGCUCUGGUUUAAAAACUUCUUUCUACUAUUUUCUAAACACUUUCAAGGCUACGCUCAUUUACGAGCUAAAGUCCUUGUUUCUUCUUCUUCUACAUUUCUAAAACUUUUUGUUUCGAAAACGAGCAAAGCAAUUAAGAGCCCAUGGAAAACCAUGGAUGCAAAGGGUGCUUUUUAAACCUUCCCUUUGCAUAAUUACCCCCCGAACUCAAAAUCUUUUUAAAAGGUAUUUUCCUGUUCUUUUAGCCUUUCCGAUAUUUGGAUAAAAUAAAAGUCGGUGGCGACUCAAGCUUAACCGCGACAUUUU